CUAAACCAAUACUAAAAUGAUGGGGAGAAGAAAAGAACCUAUAACGCAGCAAUAGCCAGGAAGAAAAUUGGAAGUGUCACAGCAUCUAAGAGAAGAGAACGGCAAGAUGCUGGCUGGAGUUGUCUGCACUGCUUAAAGUUCAGAUAAGAUGUAAUGGACUUAGCAAUGAAAAGGUCAUUAUCGACCCUGCUUGAAGUGAGAUCAGAACACUCAAGGAUUUAACUUUUUCCUUCUGUCUACUGUGAACACUCCAAUAGAGGUCUGAAUAGAUUAACAUCAGUUGAGAACUGGAAUAAUAAUCGAUGAACAUUGAAACUAUGAAGUCCUGAUAAUUCAAAGACACUCACGACAUUUAAAGAGAGAUGUUUGAAAAAUUAAGAAAAUUACUGAGCUUUGAGUUCCUCAAACAAAUAAAGGUGCAACAAUCUGUCAGUUUGAGUAAAGGAUGAUGAACAUGUUUAUCAAAAUAUUCACUAAUAUAAAGACAAGUAUUUUAAAUUAUUUCACAAAACAGGCUCAGUGUCAAGUAACUUGCCAAGGUCAAACAGUAAGGACUAAAUUUAAUUUUUAAAAUUCUUUAUUUUUAAAUAAAGUUUAAAAGUAAUGUGAGUAGUGUAAAAUAUUCAAAUACAGAAAUGUAUAAAGUUGAAAAUCUCAUGUAAUCUACACUGUUCAAAGAAAGCCAUUAAUAGACUUUUCUAUGCAUUAUAAACAUAAAUAUGCACAUUUUUAAAUGAGUUCAUACAUUUUCCUGUCAAUAGUUUGUUUCACUUAAUAUAUUAUGGCCAUUUUUCCAUGUCUACACACAAUAAAUUUACUUCAUCCAUUUUAACAGACACCUAGAUUUUCUUUUAUGGCUGAACCAUGUGUUAUUUAACCAAUCCUUUUGAUAAACUUUUAAGUUUUCUUCUACAUUUUUCUACCAUGUAAUUUUCAUACUUCUGUAGUAACUUGAAUAUUGUCAGUUCCUGUCUCAUUUUGCGUUCCGAUUUGGAAGAUAAUUUCAGUAUGGCCAUAAGCUCUAAUUUAAUAAAUACUUGGAUCUGUCAAGUUUCGAUAUUGGUAGAUACUGUAUCAGGUAGGACUCAAUUUCAAGCAAGAGAAACCCAACUCAAAGUAACUUAAGCAAAACAGGGUAUUUAUUGGUUCACAUAACUGAAAAGUCCAGGGGAUAUACUAGCUUCAGGCACGGUUGGAUCCAGGGGCACAAACUUUGUUAUCAGGACUCAAGUCUCUCCAUCAUUUGGCUCUGCUUUCUUCUGCACUGGCACUUUCUGACUGGCUCAUUUGAUAUGGUGGGCCCUGGUGGUUUGAGUUUUUCAUCUUACAAAGCUAAGCGACUUCAAUAAAGAGAGCUUCUGAGCUUCUCCUCCUCCACAGUUCAGUAAAAUUCCUGGGCUUCAGUAUCACUAGACCAACUUGAAUCACAUGAACAUUCCUGAACCAAUCACUACAGUCAAGGAGAUGGACUAUGCUGAUGGAUCAGGUCUGAACCAUGUGGACUGAAAACAGGUAAAUAUGGUUCCAAGAAACAUCAGGGAGUUGUUACAAAGAGAUGGAAUGGAUGCUGGUCAAUCAAAAACAACUCCUGCCAAUGAUAAGACCAGAUAACGCAAAAGUUUAAUCUCUGGUCAUAAAGUUGAUGCUAACAUUGUUACUUCCUCGAUAAUACUCUGGAAGAACAUCAUGAGGAGUAAGUUUGUCCUGUUCACAGGAAGUUUGUAAUCCAUUUGAAUGAAACAAUCAUGUUCAAUAGCAUACUCUGGAUGAUACAACAGAGUUUCAAUAUAAGUAAACUCAGUGGUCAUGAGUCUGAAGGCCCAACUGUCUUGCUGACAUAAAGCAGGAUAACUAGCCUCCCACCAGUGAACAGUUCUGUGAGGCUAUUCAAGUCAGUGGUAAAUUUUAAGUUCAGUGGAAGAGUUUUCUUGUGUUAAGUCUUUUGCCAAGUUGAACUGGUACAUUUCUGUGAGUGCUGAUGAAUCAGACUCAUCUCUGUAUUAGUGCACGAGAGAGGAAUGGACAAUGAUUUCAAUCUGCUGUACUCCUGCAGAUCUGAUCAAAGGGGUCCCAGGUGCUGAAAACAAUCAAAUACAGGUGUAGAGGCUUACUCUGCACUUAACAACAAGAAAAAGCUGUUGGUCAAGGAUUACACAGAAUGGUCCUUCCUGUUGUGAACAUUAAGUCCUGGUAGGCUGAGGUGCAGGUUGCUUCUGUUCAAAAUUCCUUGGUGGGCCUGGGUAUAAGUUAGGCCAAGAUCACUGGUAGUCUUCUCAAGCACAGUCAGUCUGUUUGCAGCAACAUGUCCAAAAAGGCAGGCAAGAUACUAGGUUUGAGUUUCAGGCGUUUUGGUUUUUCAACCAUCAACUCUUAUACAGUGUUCAUUAGACUCUAGAACAGACGAUCAUCCUCAUUCUUAAGCCCCUCAUUUUGACAGGAUUAAAGGGAAUGACUGGCAGUGUAGAUGAAUAUCUUUUUCUGUAAAGUACAGAGAAAGAGAAAAUUGAGCUGACGUUUUGAAGGUAGUAGAAAAACUUAGUUUGUAGAUGAUUUCUUCUUUACAAAUAAUAGUUGUAUAUACAAGCAGGCUAGUCAUCAGAUUUUUUAUUUGUUGAGGGUGAACAGUCUAGAGUAAACAGACUUAGGCCUUGUUUGAUGAUUUGUAGACCCAGUCAUGUAACCACCAUAAGGAUAAGAGACAAAGACAUAAAGAAACCUUUCCCAACAUUUAACCAGUGCAUUUGUUAAAGUAGUUGAGGACAGCUGGCCCUUACGUUGACUGUGUAGUAAAGGAAUGAGAUUUCUUUCAUGACACAAAUCGAAGUCUACUUGUUUGAUGUGAUUUGGUCUGGGAGUUCAUAAAUGGAAUCCUUCCUGCAGAAACAGAUAAAUUGUCUUAAAGCCUGAGAAUAUCUCACGGCAAGGAAUGAAGUCAGCCACUGUGAAUAAGUGUGAAACAACAGCACUGAGACAGAUGAAAUUCCAUUAAAACAUCCACAAGGACGAGGGACUGUGGUCUUGUGACAUUAAGCAGCAGCAGCAGGAAGCUCUUGAGUCUACUGAUAAUACUUAGCUGCAAGCUUUGUAGACUUUUUUUCAAGUCAUUCUACAUUUCCACCAAAAAGGUAGAUGAUAUGCAAUUUGAGAUGCCAAGCAAGUCAGUCAUCAUGGCCUGGCCAACAGGCCUACCUCCAAAUAUCCCUAACAUCUAUACUUGAUAGUACCAGACAUCAAAAGAUCUAUCUUAAAAGAACAUCCCUUGUGGGCUAGAAGAAAAUUUUCCAAACAGCCACAUUUUAAAUUACACCCAAGUAAGGAUAUUCAAAGAUUGUCUCUUGUGGAUCGGGGUUACAUGCAGUUAGAGCUGAGUAUUCAUAAUUUUUGGAACAGAACAGGCAGAAAUGCCAGUGAUGGAGAAAUUGUUUUAACUUUUUUUUUUAAGGUUAUUAGCUCAUUUAUCUUGGAAACAGCAGUUAAACUGAAUAAAAACCAAGGAGCAGUGUAACUGCCACUGGUUGAGUCACAGUGACUUGUAGUUUAAGAUGAAUGAUAACCAGGUACCCUUUUAGGUAACGUUGCCAGUAUCUGAAUUUUGCUUUCAUAGUUAAUGGUUAUCCCUUGCACACGAAGUACAGUACCAUGGCCGAUGACGGGAGGUUCAACGUACAAGUUGGUCUAAUAUGGCCUCAAUGAGGCAUCAACUUCAAUAUCAGCUUCAAUACCUGGCAAUUCAGGUAUCUAAGGAGGAUCAAGACUUCCAAGUCAUGUAUUUCAAGUACCACUAGAACAUCUGGUGUGUGUGAAAGAAGUUGGGUAAAGGGGUUUGUCAGUGUAGAGUACAUAUGAAUUGUUCUCUGGUUCUAUCCAAUUCCAGGAAUGAGUGGAAGUCCAUCUAGGGCAGAGGGCUGUUAAUCUAGGUCCAUCUGAUACCACUUUCAGCCCAUAUGACUCUGGGGGGCAAAGACACGCCCAUCUUCUUGGCCUUUUCUGAGUUGGCUCAUAGUUAGUAUCCCUUAGAAUGUUCGGCAACAACUGAACUUGGACUGUUUCGGCAGAGGUAUAGAUGAAAAUGUCAUUCAGGUCGAACAUAUUGCUGUCUAGGGCAGUGGUUUUCAAACUGUGUUCUGCAGAAUUCUAGCUGUUGUAAAGAAGUCUCCUUAGGUGUCACCAUGGUGGUAAAAGAAGAUGCUUGUGGCAGUUCAUUGUGCCCGUUUUAAUCCCAAUGGGUCAUAAUAUCUGCUUUCUCAUUCAGUAGGCUACUACAGAUUUGAAGCAAAAGGGACAGAGUCCAGUGAUCUCAAUGGGAUCCUAGACACUUCAUGAACUUCAAUCAUUUGAGAUUAUGGGGUGUGGUCCAAUGUUGUUCUCAAAAAGAUGUUGCCAUGCUUCAGACAGUGUUGAUAACUAAAAGUCCCCUGGUCCAAAUUUAUCAUGUGUCUCUGAAGGCUCGAACCGAAGAAACGAAAUGCACACUCAUGGAACAAACUGGGCCUUUGUCGUGAUAAAACAACUUCAGCUAUUUGGCUUGAAGAGUUUGACUUUACUAUAAAGGGCUGUGCUGAAUCUGGGUAGAACAGGACAGGAGUGGAGGUAAAGGCCACAUCAUGAUGGCUGAAUGCCUCUUGGGUCACAGUUUCCAGUUGUUUUUUUCCUCCUCUCUCUCUCCUGAGGAAAGCAUCUUAUCACCACAGUCUUUAAGAUUCUUUUGAGGUACCUCCAGAAUUACAAAAGAACUAAAAGAACAACACAUUUUUCUCCAAAACAGUCAUUUCUCUGGAAGUGAGAUCAUCUGUCUCUGCCCUUUAGACAAAGGGAAUAGUCAAUCGAUUUUUUCAGACAUCUGUAUGAAACAGCAGAACUGGUAACACCUAACCAGACAAAAUACACUGAAAUGUGUUUGUGUUCACUUGCUUAGAGCUGUACCACUGGUAAGCACCACUCCACAACACGAAAAUGUUUGAAAUCCAACUGUUCAAACAUUUCUAUAGUGUUUGCUGGAUAAUGGCCUGGAAUUUGAUAAAAGCAGCUGAUAAUUAACAAAGAAGCAAAAACUGGCAUUUUGGCCAUCUUAGUAACACACUUGCAAGCAAAUAGAAGAGAAAGCAGGCCAGGAAAAAGUUAAGCUUUGAAAUAUUCCCAAAUCUACUGAUUUUGAGGUUCAGAGGUUCUAACAAAACUUUUCAGAGAAUGUUAACUUUCACUUAAUAAAGAAAAACCCCCAAACAUCUUCAGUAAUUCCACGCCUGGUUCAGUCUGUUCCAGGGAGCCAGCCUGCUAAAAAUCCACCUGCACCAUUAAUUACGUGGACUGGGCAGCACCAUUUAAAAAUAAGCCUGCUCACUACCAACCACAGAUUAGGGAUAGAAAAUAGGAGCAAGUAACGGAUAGCAACUAUACUCGUGGAAAAUGGUCAAUGAAAGUCAGAAAGGUAGUCAGGCACCAGUAAAAGCAGCAGAAAACACAGAGUUGUCGGGCCAGAUUAAAUAGGCUUCUUGAUACCCGAAAACACAUCCACUCCUGGUUUUAGCUGCUUUAUAUUGGGUGCCAUUGUACCACAUGUAUCAGCCACCCUUCAGGCACCCCAUGGUGAAAAGACAAGACUCAGAAUAGAAGCCAAACAGCGGAGUGUCAUUACCCCGAAUAUCCAUUAUGCAUAGAAACAGCUCACAUAUCCCAGGGAUUCAAACAGGGGCUUCAAAUUGGUUGUGAAGGGUCCCAAAUGACAUCUAGGCCUCAGUUUCCUCCCUGUAGCAUAAAGGAAUUGUGGUUCUUAACUCUUCUGGGUCACAGAAGCGAUGGAUCCUUAUUCCCCUAAAACACACAUUCCCACUAAUUUCUGCAUACAAUUUCGGGGAGUUUGGGGAUCCCAACUCCAAUCCAAGGUUCCCAGGUUCAAAAUCCAAGGACUGGGCAAUUGCUAAGUUUUCUCGUAACUAACAACAACCAUUACAAACAAUAAUCAUCCCUUACGAACACGGAUGCUUUAUAGUUUACAAAGCGCUUUCAAUCCCACAAACAUGGACAGGCAUAGGAGGAAACUGAGGCGCAGAAAAUUAGAGUGACUUGCCUAAGGUCACUCGGCCAGCUGGUGGCUAGGCCCGGAAGCAAACCCAGCUCUUCCGACUCCGGGGCUUGUCUCCCUACCCCGGAGCUGCCGCCAAAGCUCCUGCCCCUCACUAAGGCGGCAUGAGGAGAAAAAGGCAAAGUAGAAAGCCCACCACCAACCAUCCCCCAGCCCCCUCUUGCCCCCCCAACUGGGUCC
ensembl:lncRNA